AUUGAACGCUGGCGGCAGGCCUAACACAUGCAAGUCGAGCGGCAGCGGGACCUUCGGGUUGCCGGCGAGCGGCGGACGGGUGAGUAAUGCCUAGGAAUCUGCCUGUUAGUGGGGGAUAACGCGGGGAAACUCGCGCUAAUACCGCAUACGUCCUACGGGAGAACGCGGGGGCUCUUCGCACCUCGCGCUAACAGAUGAGCCUAGGUCGGAUUAGCUAGUUGGUGGGGUAAUGGCCCACCAAGGCGACGAUCCGUAACUGGUCGGAGAGGAUGAUCAGUCACACUGGAACUGAGACACGGGCCAGACUCCUACGGGAGGCAGCAGUGGGGAAUAUUGGACAAUGGGCGAAAGCCUGAUCCAGCCAUGCCGCGUGUGUGAAGAAGGUCUUCGGAUUGUAAAGCACUUUAAGUCGGGAGGAAGGGCUGUAGGCUAAUACCUUGCAGUUUUGACGUUACCGACAGAAUAAGCACCGGCUAACUUCGUGCCAGCCGCCGCUGUAACAC
rnacentral:rRNA from 1 species